CCAAUGAACCAAUGGAACUAAGCUACUUAAACGUUGGGCUGUUGUUAUGCAUGUUUACAUUAAUGGGAUUCGUAAUUUUUGACGAUGAGUAAUUUUCAGAUCGUAUCAAAUCAUUUAGCAGCAUUAGAAGCGCUUUGGCUGGAAAUGUUAACUUAUAGCAACAGUAAAAUUGGAUUUUGGCUUGCAAACAGAGGUCAGAAGUUAACACGGUCACAGUUCCUUGAUUCAGCCAGUUUCACGAUGUGACGCCGAGAGUCCUGUGUUGAAUCCAGAGAUCUGGAGCUGCUUAUGUAAAGAUCGAUGGCUCGGUGGUUCGUGAGUGUCGUCUCGCGGCGCGUCGUCUUUUAGCGCGUGUUCGAAACCCGUGCCAACACAGAUUUACUUUAUUUUAUUUUUUUGUUUAUCCUACUUACUUCAGCCGCUACGGGCGAUCAUACCUAUAACUUGUUAUCUCUGCAAGAAUAUCAAAAUCAUGCAAUGAGCAAGUCUGCGUUUAUUAGGCACUUAAUAUCACGUCAGUUUGUGCUUUCAGAAUCGGCGAAUCUGCUGCCGUCGUUCCAGCACAUCUGCAGCGGAGACCUAAACAGGAAGUUGGUCACCAGAUAACACGGUAACCAGUUAAACCGUAACACCGGAUCGCGUGGGUUGCCGCAAUCAGGAGAAAAAAAUUUUACUUUCCAAAACAUCCCUGCAUCAGCGAGAGUGUGUUCGCUGCAUUUUCAGUCAGGACAACCAGCAUUAGAAAUGCUGGAUACUCAUCCUGACUGGGCACCAUCUUUGCUUCUGGGCCACAAUGAAGUGAAAGGGAUGAACAAAGAGAGGUUUGCACGUCAGUUAAGAAAAUACCUCACACAUCAGGUAAUUAGCAAGAGGCCAGGAGAGGAGAAAGAACAAGAAGAAAGUUGUCACAGUCUGCUGUGCUCUUACAAACAUGUGUCCAAGUGUUGUGCAGUGAUUGCUAAAUCAACUGGUUUGUAAAAACGUUUGUUAAAAGUUGUACAAAGCAAGAGGUGUUGUGUAUUGUAUAUUCCUUGAUGAUUUGUAGGAUAGUUGAUGAAUGAUGUUGAAUUUGUGGUUUAUGUUAGCAGAUGAUAAAGACAGGCCACAUUGCAUGAAUCAAAAAUUAUUUAUUUUUUCAAUGAACAAUUUGCUUUGAUAUUCUGUACAUAUUUUUACAUGCCUUUUUAAAAUGUUUCUGACUCAAGUUUUUAUAUAACUGCUUAAUAAAUACAUUAAGUGA